CAGGCUUGUCCACUAGUCACAGAUGACUCACCAUCGUGGAUGAUUCUCAAGCAACAGUCAUUAGAAGCUAUGGAACCACAUACAGAAAUUUCAUUCCUGUACCAGGUCUAUUUACAUAAUGCUGCAAAGUAUGCAUUCGAAUCAUACAUCAGGAAGCAGACAAAAGGCCCAGCCAUAAAGCUCCCAGUCCAACAUUUGCGGAAUUCAGGACAGGAUUUCACAGUAGAAAACUGAAGGUGUGACUGCUUCUGUUCUGUUCAGUAUUACCUCCAACUAGACAACUCACAGACAAAGGGCAUAUGCAGAAAUCAACAAGGAAUGCAGCUCACUAACUAACUGGAUUAUCACAAGGUUAUUCAUUCUCCUAUGCCCCAGGACCAUGCACCGAGGGAUGGCACUACCCACAGUGACUACAUCUUGCGUCAAAUAAUAAGAUGACCAUACACAGACAUGACAGCUGGUCAAGGAAAUACAGUUUACUCUCUCUCUCUCUCUCUCUCUCUCUCUCUCUCUCUCUCUCUCAUACCUUUUAGCAAACAUAACUAUAAAAUUACUGUUUUAAAGGGCACCUAAAUGUAAGUAGACUUUACUGAAUAUCUUAGUGGGGUUCAUGUUUCCCAGGCAGGGAAAUAACUACCUUUCUAUAGUGCUCCGAUACUUGAAAUUUGUUAUUUGAUUGCUCUUUUCCCCAGACACUUCACAAUCUUUUCAAGAACAGGAACAUUGUCACUUUAUUUACAAUGUAUUCCCUUUGUUUAGAAGAAUUUCUGGCAUAUGGUAGGUGUUAUAUGAAUAUUUCAUGAAUAGAACAUUAGCAAUGCCUGAUAAUAGACAAUUCUGAAGGAAUCCAGUCUUUCAACUAACUCUGAAGCCUUCACUUACUUGAAAAGUGAUUUAGCUGAAGAAAAACAUGGACUUCUCUAGAUAUUUAUUUCUUGAAUUUACUUAUCCUGCACAUUGCAACAAUAAUUAGUUCUUGCAUUAUUCCAAUAUCCUAAGCAUUUAGUUUUAUUUAACAAAAUAUAGAAUUUCCUCCAAAAAUAUGUCUAUCAAUGAUGGCAUUAGCUUUAAGCUAAUUCUGACUUUGUCAUCAAAUAAUGCAUCCUGGUAUAUUGUUAAAAUACUAUAAAAUGUUAUUUCCUGACACUCCCUUCUUUGAGAUGGCAGCAAGAGUCGUUUCUUAAUGUAUAACUGUUUACAUCUUAGGAACCCUUGUUUUGAGGCCAAAGUCCUUAAAGGAGUUGCUGAUAUCUACAGCUUCAAAUUGAUUUUCUUUCAUCCUUUUAACCUUUAGCCUUAGGCUUUUUGUCAGCACCACACUAUAAAGUAGUUCUGUCAUAAUCACUGAUGACUUGUAUUUAUUAAGUCUGGUAGUCAUGUCUACAGACUCACACUGUUGCCUGCCAAAUCUUGGAAACAUUGUUGAUUGGCUGUACUCUCCCCUUUUCUUCCUUUUCUGAACCUCAUUUCUAAUGUAUCUUUGAAAUAGUGUUAUAGUUCUUAUUCUUAGUCUUUGAGUAUCUGUGGGGGUAGGCAGGUGGAGCAAGAGUUCUAUGUCUUUAAAUGGACUAAUUGGAGAGGAAUCUCAAAUUUUCCCCAAUUUCAAAUGCUUCUCCUGAGCAGUAGAUGAUUGUCCUAACAUCUACUUUGGUUCUCUAUAGACAUUAAGCCAGAGCCUGCUCUAAUUUACAUCAUAGGUUAGAGAGUGUUAGCUUGCAAACUGUGUCUUGUCUUUAGUGACUUCUUUCUAUAAGGCAAGAAUUUUCUCCUUUUAUAAUGCAAAUGCUGAGGCAGGAUGACUCAUAUACUAUUUUGGAAAGUAAACAAUAAACAAUCUUUCUAACACAAACCACGGUGCUGCAACUGACACAUAGCUUUUUGAUGUAAAUAAAAUAUUCCCAUCUAUAAACAUCUCAGAUUAAGACAGGCUUGCACAAACACAAUGCCUCCUUUAAAAUCACAAGAGGGAGAGCAGACAUGAACUUUUCAAACAAGCCAGACAGAUAUUCCAAAUCUCCAGCUUGGUAUGACCUUCUAGAGACACCACUCAUGCAGACAUAAUAUGCAAAGAAUCAGUGUUUUACCUUGAAUCUACUGUGUAUCCUGACUGACUUCUGUGCUUUGAACAGAAGGUAAAUGUGCUUGUAUCUAACCCCCCACUAUACUCUCUUGACAUCACUAUGUCAGUUCUCUGCAUUUUGUCUUCUCUCAAGUCCCUGGGACUCAUGCACCAACUGUCACCUAUUUGUAGCCACAUUGUCAUCUAUCUAUUAUGGUCCAGUGUAUAAUGUAUGCCUUGAGAAUUAAUCCUAAUAAUUAAGAUUAGAAGAAGAGAAACUGUGCUGUCAAAAGCCAUGAGUCUGGAAUGAAAUUAUGAGUGCUUGGUGCUUAGCAUAUGCCCAAAUGACUCUACAUCCUUCUGCAUAAAUACUUGCUUGCUUAGCUGUGUUCCUUUUCACUUUAUUCACAAUAGCUAGAAAAUGGAAAAUGUUGAAAUUCCCUUCACCUGACGAACGUAUAAUGAAAAUGUGGCACAUAUAUAUUACAGAUUACUGCUCAGCUGUAAGGCAAUUGAAAUCAUGAACUUAAUAUAGGUAAAUGGAUGGAAAUAGAAAAGAUGAUAUUGAGUGAGGUAACUUAGACCCAGAAAAAAGAAAAAUACAUGUUCCUUUUUAUUAAGGAAUUCUAGCUUCAAAUAUUCAAAUGUGAGUACAUAUCCUGGAAUAAAAUAAUAAGUGUCCAUUACCAGGUUAGAGGAGUGGGGGAUAAUAGAAGGAAUAAUAGUUGGGUAUAUGUGACCUGACAGAGGAAAUGGGGUAAGGAAUUCAUAAUUAAGAAGAGGGAAAAGAGAUAAAUGUGGAAUAAAGAUGGAGAUGGAUUAAUAAUGAAAAGGAUGUCUAAAAAUGUCAUAAGGAAUUAUACUAUUAACUACCUAUAUAAAAUCACCAUAUUAUGUUGUUAUAUAAGAAUUAUAUAUACACAUAAGUGUCUAUAAAUAUGCAUAUUCAUUUGUAAUGAAAUUUUCUCAUCUGGGAUGACAAAGCUCCUUCCAGGAGCUGAAGACUAUCUAAGGAAAACUCCAAGAGUAAACGUAAAGGGCCCUCUUUUGAGCUGUUGGUCACAUUGUUCAAGGGAUGCCCAAAACAUUGCAGGGUAUUUCUACUGUCUUUCGCUGUUCCCAAGAGGUGGGGGCUAUGUCCUUGUUGAAAUGAAAUACCAUGCAUGUCAGACACAAAGCCCAGAGUCCAUUGAUGCAGCACUGACAAGAUGUCUUUCACCCUGAAGAUAAACUCUCAUGGUACCAAAAGCUGCUAUGCAAGUUUGUAAAGGAGACAACCUCUAUUCUUACCAACCAACGUAUUAUAUCAAUGAACUGCAACAAAGACCAGCUUGUUAUGCUAACCCCAAGUUAGCAGUAAUGGCAAAUAUAACUUGGUGGUAACCAAUGACUCUCUAAUUGGACACAAGACCCACUCAAGAGGAGGUAAAUCAUACCAGAUACUCAAAAAUCAACCCAGAGCUAAUUAAGUCAUGAAUAUUGCAAGGGACCCACAACCAUUUUACAAAGCCAUCAUAAUCUCUACCUACACUCGAAAUGUUUGUCCUUAUAAACCCAGAUAAUUUAUACUUCUCAAAACUCAAGAAAACUUCCCUUUUCAAUAGAGAAAGACCAUUACAGAAAAGCACCAUCAAUAAAAAUGCAGAGUUAUAGACCCCAGUCCUAGUGGAUACAUCUACAGAAUAUCUUACACAUCUAAGGUUCACAGAAUAUUUGGGAACAAGGGGAAGAAAGAUUUUUAAGUGCCACAGGAUCUGAGAAUGUUCUGUUAAACUGAUUCCCCUAGUAAUCAUAGAACUAUAUUCUAUAUUCGUAAAACCUCACCAACAUGACUGUCUAAACAUGUGCUGAACCAAGGAAACAACAGCCAUGCCGAAGAGAAUGAGGAAAAGGUUAGAACACCUCAGCCAUCCAUAAUGGACCACAGGGAAUAAAGGAAUAGUGAGAAUUGGACAAAAAUCUUCCCAAGGGAUGAUCUAAUUGGUUAUGCAAUAUAAAUUGACAUUCCUAAAAAUAUACAUACAGGUAAUGUUAGACAUGUUGAGCAGGUUAUAUUUAUUAAUACACAUACACACAUAUGCAUGUAACAACAAUUAAUGAAAAAUGGGGCAUAAAUUUCAAAAGGAGCAAGGAAGGGUGUAUGGGAAUAUUUGGAGGGAGAAAUGGGAAGGAGAAAAUGAUGUAAUUAUAUUAUAUUACAAAGAUAAACGAUUUAAAAAUGUUUGGUGAUUUAUAAUCAAUGAAACUGAUAUGACUCAGAAUUUCUUAUUGCUCAAUAAACUCUGACCUUUUAAAAGGAA